rnacentral:rRNA from 1 species
GACGAACGCUGGCGGCGUGCCUAAUACAUGCAAGUCGAACGCAGUGGGGACGGGUGCGUAACACGUGGGUAACCUGCCAUCAGAGGGGAUAACACUUGGAAACAGGUGCUAAACCGCUACUGAUGGAGCGACUCGCGGGGCAUUAGCUAGUGGGUGAGGUAAAGGCUCACCAAGGCCACGAUGCAUAGCCGACCUGAGAGGGUGAUCGGCCACACGGGGACGGAGACACGGCCCAGACUCCUACGGGAGGCAGCAGUAGGGAAUCUUCGGCAAUGGACGAAAGUCUGACCGAGCAACGCCGCGUGAGUGAAGAAGGUUUUCGGAUCGUAAAACUCUGUUGUUAGAGAAGCGGUAUCUAACCAGAAAGCCACGGCUAACUACGUGCCAGCAGCCGCGGUAAUUC